GGCGGCGUGCUUAACACAUGCAAGUCGAACGAUGAAGCCCUUCGGGGUGGAUUAGUGGCGAACGGGUGAGUAACACGUGGGCAAUCUGCCCUUCACUCUGGGACAAGCCCUGGAAACGGGGUCUAAUACCGGAUAUACUCUCGCAGGCAUCUGUGAGGGUCGAAAGCUCCGGCGGUGAAGGAUGAGCCCGCGGCCUAUCAGCUUGUUGGUGAGGUAAUGGCUCACCAAGGCGACGACGGGUAGCCGGCCUGAGAGGGCGACCGGCCACACUGGGACUGAGACACGGCCCAGACUCCUACGGGAGGCAGCAGUGGGGAAUAUUGCACAAUGGGCGAAAGCCUGAUGCAGCGACGCCGCGUGAGGGAUGACGGCCUUCGGGUUGUAAACCUCUUUCAGCAGGGAAGAAGCGAAAGUGACGGUACCUGCAGAAGAAGCGCCGGCUAACUACGUGCCAGCAGCCGCGGUAAUACGUAGGGCGCAAGCGUUGUCCGGAAUUAUUGGGCGUAAAGAGCUCGUAGGCGGCUUGUCACGUCGGGUGUGAAAGCCCGGGGCUUAACCCCGGGUCUGCAUUCGAUACGGGCUAGCUAGAGUGUGGUAGGGGAGAUCGGAAUUCCUGGUGUAGCGGUGAAAUGCGCAGAUAUCAGGAGGAACACCGGUGGCGAAGGCGGAUCUCUGGGCCAUUACUGACGCUGAGGAGCGAAAGCGUGGGGAGCGAACAGGAUUAGAUACCCUGGUAGUCCACGCCGUAAACGGUGGGAACUAGGUGUUGGCGACAUUCCACGUCGUCGGUGCCGCAGCUAACGCAUUAAGUUCCCCGCCUGGGGAGUACGGCCGC
rnacentral:rRNA from 1 species